GUCCCGGAGGCUUUGCGGCAGGGGAAGAGAAGGCACUCCCACUAGUUAACAGCAGGCCUCCGGACAAGGGCUAAGCGGCAGCUCUGUUCCUCGUCAGCCCAGGCACCUGUGCCCGUCUCACAAUGUGGAGUGCACAGUGGGCCAUGGUCUGCUGAUUCGGCCAUGGAGAAAGUCACUUUCCUGGUGCAGGAAGCAAGUCCUUUUACCUUGUUCGCGUCUCUGAGUGGGGGUACCCUUCUGAGAGCAGAGACUGCAUUGCCUUUUAUCUCCUGGAUCACCGGCAUCUAGCCCGAUGCAGGACACACAGCAGCCCACACCUUCUGCCAUCUUAUACCUGCUCUGGUGUCCGGUCAGCGCCCGUUGAAAACGCAUGUUGCACACCAGGCAAGUGUACACACUGCCAGGCAAGCCCGCACCCUCCCGGGGUCCAGAGAUUGGGAAGCUUUCUAAGCUUAAAAUCAAAGGAAGACACCACAGGGGGGAAAAGAUCAACGUGAACAACUUCACAAAGAAAAGGAGGGGGAGCAGAGGAAAAAAGCCUUCCAUCUAUCAAAACUCAAAAGGGCCAAAGAAAAGACUUCAGAUUAAACUUUGUCAUUGGUGCGUGUGUAGAGGAAAGGACACAGUCUCUAUCGGGUUCAGUACAAUCUGCAGCUCCAGGCCUCCACUGGGGUUCGGGACACACACCGCCCCGCGGGCCAGGGGAACAACUCUACUCAAAACCCCGAAAGCGUGGACACCCAAGUGCCCACUGAUGGAUGAAUGAAUAAACAAAAUGUCCUAUGUAAA